rnacentral:rRNA from 1 species
UGGGGAAUAUUGGACAAUGGGCGCAAGCCUGAUCCAGCCAUGCCGCGUGAGUGAUGAAGGCCCUAGGGUUGUAAAGCUCUUUCACCGGUGAAGAUAAUGACGGUAACCGGAGAAGAAGCCCCGGCUAACUUCGUGCCAGCAGCCGCGGUAAUACGAAGGGGGCUAGCGUUGUUCGGAUUUACUGGGCGUAAAGCGCACGUAGGCGGACUUUUAAGUCAGGGGUGAAAUCCCGGGGCUCAACCCCGGAACUGCCUUUGAUACUGGAUGUCUUGAGUAUGGUAGAGGUGAGUGGAAUUCCGAGUGUAGAGGUGAAAUUCGUAGAUAUUCGGAGGAACACCAGUGGCGAAGGCGGCUCACUGGACCAUUACUGACGCUGAGGUGCGAAAGCGUGGGGAGCAAACAGG